rnacentral:rRNA from 1 species
UACGUAGGGGGCAAGCGUUGUCCGGAUUUAUUGGGCGUAAAGAGCGUGUAGGCGGCCAUACAGGUCCGUUGUGAAAACUGGAGGCUUAACCUCCAGACGUCGAUGGAAACCGUAUGGCUAGAGUCCGGAAGAGGAGAAUGGAAUUCCCGGUGUAGCGGUGAAAUGCGCAGAUAUCGGGAAGAACACCCGUGGCGAAGGCGGCUCUCUGGGACGGUACUGACGCUGAGACGCGAAAGCGUGGGGAGCGAACAGG